rnacentral:lncRNA from 1 species
UCCAGCCGGAGUUCCAAUACCACUAGGCCAAGAGCUCUUGGUUCCAUUUCAUAGAUCUUGACCAUCGUAUACUUUCAUUUUACUUGCUGUAUAAACAUAAACCAUUUUAACCAUUUCAUAGAAUAAUACAUUUUCGUACUGUUUUGGAGUUCGGGUAUGUUAUACAUGUUGUUCAUGUAAUAAACAAAACCAACACGAUUUACAUUUUAUAUAUAGUUGUGCCCCUAGAUCUGCCGGUUAUGCCACAUAGAUGUGCCGGUUAAAACAAAACCUGUUCAUAUACUUGCUAAUAUAAUUCAAUCAAAAUUCAAACCAUGGUUUUAUCUUUAAAACCAAUAUAAUAAGAUUUUUCAAAACUAAGAUUCUGUUGCAACAAUAACGGGGACUUGCCAAAACUAAGAUUAUAUUGAAACAACCAAAUCUCAUGUUUGUUUCCUAAAUUUUUGCUAUGAAAUAUCAAAACAACGUUGAAGAAUAUCCUCUAAUAUAUCAAGAUAUCAUUAUCUACGAUAUAACUAACCAUAACAACCGAUCCAAAAUUUUCAACAAUUGAUUUUCUUCCUUGCGAAUAAAGUCAUGGCAUAUUCUCCCUAAAUACCCUAACAAACCUAGCAAUCUAUAUAUAUCGA